AUACGGAGGGUGCAAGCGUUGUUCGGAUUUAUUGGGCGUAAAGCGCGCGCAGGCGGAAAGAUAAGUCAGGUGUGAAAUCUCGGGGCUCAACCCCGAAACUGCGCCUGAAACUGUUUUUCUAGAAUUUUUUAGAGGGAAGGGGAAUUUCACAUGUAGGGGUAAAAUCCGUAGAGAUGUGAAGGAACACCAAAGGCGAAGGCACCUUCCUGGAAAAAUAUUGACGCUGAGGCGCGAAAGCGUGGGUAGCAAACAGGAUUAGAUACCCCAGUAGUCC
rnacentral:rRNA from 1 species